rnacentral:tRNA from 1 species
GAGAAUAUAGCUCAGUGAUAGAGUGCAUGCCUAGCAUGCAUGAGGUCCUGGGUUCAAUACCUAGUACCUCCA